AGUGAACGCUGGCGGUAGGCCUAACACAUGCAAGUCGAACGGCAGCACAGUAAGAGCUUGCUCUUCUGGGUGGCGAGUGGCGGACGGGUGAGGAAUACAUCGUAAUCUACUUUUUCGUGGGGGAUCACGUAGGGAAACUUACGCUAAUACCGCAUACGACCUACGGGUGAAAGCAGGGGAUCUUCGGACCUUGCGGGAUUGAAUGAGCCGAUGUCGGAUUGGCUAGUUGGCGGGGUAAAGGCCCACCCAGGCGACGAUCCGUAGCUGGUCUGAGAGGAUGAUCAGCCACACGAGAGCGGAGACACGGACCAGACUCCUACGGGAGGCAGCAGUGGGGUAUAGUGGACAAUGGGCGCAAGCCUGAUCCAGCCAUACCGAGUGGGUGAAGAAGGCCUUCGGGUUGUAAAGCCCGUUUGUUGGGAGAGAAAAGCAGCAGGUUAAUACCCCGCUGUUCUGACGGUACCCAAAGAAUAAGCACCGGCUAACUUCGUG
rnacentral:rRNA from 1 species